CAGUAGCCACGGUAAAACGUAGGGUGCAAGCGUUAAUCGGAAUUACUGGGCGUAAAGCGUGCGCAGGCGGUUAUAUAAGUCAGAUGUGAAAUCCCCGGGCUCAACCUGGGAACUGCAUUUGAGACUGUAUGGCUAGAGUGUGUCAGAGGGGGGUAGAAUUCCACGUGUAGCAGUGAAAUGCGUAGAUAUGUGGAGGAAUACCGAUGGCGAAGGCAGCCCCCUGGGAUAACACUGACGCUCAUGCACGAAAGCGUGGGGAGCAAACAGGAUUAGAUACCCCAGUAGUCCCUGUCUCUUAUAC
rnacentral:rRNA from 1 species